rnacentral:lncRNA from 13 species
UAGACCUUGUGGCUAUGAUGUCACUUCUUUGAAGCACAGCCAUCACAGUCAGGGCAGGCUCGUGGCCCUUCUGAGCUGGCAGAAACAGCCACUUCCUAAGACUCAGUUCUAAAUUGUUUUGAUUUACACAGCUAAUUGUCCAUCUGCCUUCCAAAGAGAUUAAUAAGCUGCUUCAGCUAGCAAAAGUCUUGUGUCCAGAUAAAGACACCAAGUCUUAAAAGAAUGAAGAACAGAAGAGGAGAACAAGCUGACUCAGAAGAAAGGAGCACCACAAUUCAGAACACAAG